GCCGGAAUGAUGGAAUGGUAGACAUGAACGACUCAAAAUCGUUUGCCCCUGUGGGCGUGUGGGUUCGAAUCCCACUUCCGGCACCA
rnacentral:tRNA from 1 species